rnacentral:tmRNA from 1 species
GGGCUUGUACUGGUUUCGACAGGCCGGCUGAAGAUGGAGAAGCUAUCCGUGGGCUGUGACCACGUUAAAACGCAGAAAAAAAUAAACGCUGACGAUAAUAGAUUAGCAUACGCAGCCUAAGUGCUGCUGUCUGACCUGGAGCACCUACACUCCAGGAGCCAGGCAUCAAUGAUGUAGGAAACGACGUAUAUCAAGCUUUGCGUAUACGGGCGUAUCAUGAAGCUACUAAAGCCUGAAGGAUGUUCAUUUCCGUCAGGUGGAGGGAAUGUAAAAGAAUGAACUAUGAUAGUAGAAGUACAUGGGAUUCCGGUUUGGACGCGGGUUCGAUUCCCGCCAGGUCCAUCU